AACGAUCCAGAGAAUUAGUGAGAGAGAGAGAGGUGAAAUUCAGGAAAGAAAAGAAUUCAUCUCAUCAUCUCAGCACGGCGUUAGUUGCUCUUCAUCCCCAGACUGAUCGGAGAGGCACACAGAGAAAGAAGUGGGAGAGGGAUCUGGGUUUUGACUACAGCCCCAAAUUUCUAAUCGAAGAGGCACACAGACUAAAGGUUGUUGAUAACUUGCUUCAUGAAGCCACUAGGAAUCUAGAAAGUUUGAUAUUUUUCCCCCAGACCCUUAGAAGCAAGAAAGAUAUUCAAGGGAGGCUUGACAAAGAAGUUCUUUGCUUUGCUCAACUCACCAGCAUUGGUAAGUACUCAUUGAAUUGAGUCACGAUCCUCUUUAAUAUUUUCAUUUCAAUCCUUAUGAUUUAGUUUAUUACUAAGCCUAAUAGUUUACUUAGGUUCAUGUAACUGCAAAUUUUACCCUUUUUUUAUUUUUAUUUCAUUCAAAGUUAAUGUUCAUUCAACUUUUACUUUUACAGAGAGCUACAAGAACUAUACUUGUUGUGUGUUGAGCUUAGUUUUUCUUAAUACUCUUAAUCCGAAAUACAUAAACUCUUAAUCCUAUAUAUUCCAAUCAAAAACUAGAAUGACCAUUAAAAGA